AUUGAACGCUGGCGGCAGGCCUAACACAUGCAAGUCGAGCGAGCGGCGGACGGGUGAGUAAUGUAUGGGGACUGCCCGAUAGAGGGGGAUAACUACUGGAAACGGUGGCUAAUACAGCAUACUGUAGGAUAACACAUAUGGGAUUAUCUAGUAGGUAAGGUAAUGGCUUACCUAGGCGACGAGCCCUCGCUGGUCUGAGAGGAUGAUCAGCCACAUGGGGACUGAGACACGGCCCAGACUCCUACGGAGGCAGCAGUGGGGAAGAUUGCACAAUGGGCGCAAGCCUGAUGCAGCCAUGCCGCGUGUAUGAAGAAGGCCCUAGGGUUGUAAAGUACUUUCAGUCGGGAGGCGUUACCGACAGAAGAAGCACCGGCUAACUCCGUGCCAGCCGCCGCGGUAAUAC
rnacentral:rRNA from 1 species